GGUGAUAUGAACCGUUAUAACCGGCGAUUUCCGAAUGGGGAAACCCAGUGUGUUUCGACACACUAUCAUUAACUGAAUCCAUAGGUUAAUGAGGCGAACCGGGGGAACUGAAACAUCUAAGUACCCCGAGGAAAAGAAAUCAACCGAGAUUCCCCCAGUAGCGGCGAGCGAACGGGGAGGAGCCCAGAGCCUGAAUCAGUGUGUGUGUUAGUGGAAGCGUCUGGAAAGGCGCGCGAUACAGGGUGACAGCCCCGUACACAAAAAUGCACAUAUUGUGAGCUCGAUGAGUAGGGCGGGACACGUGGUAUCCUGUCUGAAUAUGGGGGGACCAUCCUCCAAGGCUAAAUACUCCUGACUGACCGAUAGUGAACCAGUACCGUGAGGGAAAGGCGAAAAGAACCCCGGCGAGGGGAGUGAAAAAGAACCUGAAACCGUGUACGUACAAGCAGUGGGAGCCUCUUAAUGGGGUGACUGCGUACCUUUUGUAUAAUGGGUCAGCGACUUAUAUUCUGUAGCAAGGUUAACCGAAUAGGGGAGCCGAAGGGAAACCGAGUCUUAACUGGGCGUUAAGUUGCAGGGUAUAGACCCGAAACCCGGUGAUCUAGCCAUGGGCAGGUUGAAGGUUGGGUAACACUAACUGGAGGACCGAACCGACUAAUGUUGAAAAAUUAGCGGAUGACUUGUGGCUGGGGGUGAAAGGCCAAUCAAACCGGGAGAUAGCUGGUUCUCCCCGAAAGCUAUUUAGGUAGCGCCUCGUGAAUUCAUCUCCGGGGGUAGAGCACUGUUUCGGCAAGGGGGUCAUCCCGACUUACCAACCCGAUGCAAACUGCGAAUACCGGAGAAUGUUAUCACGGGAGACACACGGCGGGUGCUAACGUCCGUCGUGAAGAGGGAAACAACCCAGACCGCCAGCUAAGGUCCCAAAGUCAUGGUUAAGUGGGAAACGAUGUGGGAAGGCCCAGACAGCCAGGAUGUUGGCUUAGAAGCAGCCAUCAUUUAAAGAAAGCGUAAUAGCUCACUGGUCGAGUCGGCCUGCGCGGAAGAUGUAACGGGGCUAAACCAUGCACCGAAGCUGCGGCAGCGACACUAUGUGUUGUUGGGUAGGGGAGCG
rnacentral:rRNA from 1 species